rnacentral:rRNA from 1 species
UACGUAGGGGGCAAGCGUUGUCCGGAAUCAUUGGGCGUAAAGAGCGUGUAGGCGGCUCGGUAAGUCCGCUGUGAAAGUCCAGGGCUCAACCCUGGAAUGCCGGUGGAAACUGUCGAGCUAGAGUCCGGAAGAGGCGAGUGGAAUUCCUGGUGUAGCGGUGAAAUGCGCAGAUAUCAGGAGGAACACCAAUGGCGAAGGCAGCUCGCUGGGACGGUACUGACGCUGAGGAGCGAAAGCAUGGGGAGCGAACAGG